GCUGGGAUAGCUCAGUCAGCAGAGCAUGAGACUCUUAAAUCUCAGGGUCAUGGGUUUGAGCCUCAUGUUGGGCA
rnacentral:tRNA from 1 species